rnacentral:rRNA from 1 species
GAUGAACGCUGGCGGCGUGCCUAAUACAUGCAAGUCGAGCGAACAGACGAGGAUCUUGCUCCUCUGACGUUAGCGGCGGACGGGUGAGUAACACGUGGAUAACCUACCUAUAAGACUGGGAUAACUUCGGGAAACCGGAGCUAAUACCGGAUAAUAUAUUGAACCGCAUGGUUCAAUAGUGAAAGACGGUUUUGCUGUCACUUAUAGAUGGAUCCGCGCCGCAUUAGCUAGUUGGUAAGGUAACGGCUUACCAAGGCAACGAUGCGUAGCCGACCUGAGAGGAUGAUCAGCCACACUGGAACUGAGACACGGUCCAGACUCCUACGGGAGGCAGCAGUAGGGAAUCUUCCGCAAUGGGCGAAAGCCUGACGGAGCAACGCCGCGUGAGUGAUGAAGGUCUUCGGAUCGUAAAACUCUGUUAUUAGGGAAGAACAAAUGUGUAAGUAACUAUGCACGUCUUGACGGUACCUAAUCAGAAAGCCACGGCUAACUACGUG